UGGUCUCUACACUUGUGUUUGCAGAGCUGUAACUGGAAGCACCAGAGGUCUGAAAUGAAGAAGGUGAAGAGAGGUGGAAGCUGGAAUUUGAGAAGGUUAAAAGUUAAAAGGAAGAGCCUGAUUGCUGUAAAGUACAGAUUUAACUUGUGGUUUUCUAUUUCUUCCUUACACUUUCCUUAUUGGCCUGAGGCGUGAUAACAGAGCUGUCAGUAUCUUCAGGCUGACUAUAACAAUCUCCUGAACUAUUCGCUCUCAGGAAGCCAGUGCCUCUCUCAAAUGCAGCAUUGCUGUGGCCAACAUAUCCUUCUUCCAGACAACUGAAUAUGGAAAAGAAUACAAAAGCAGAGCCUGUCAGUCACCCCUGGGCGGUUGUCAGCAUCUGGAAGGAUGGAUGCAGAAGUUAAGAGCAGCCAUCUUCAUCCAGUCACCUGUGUGCCUCAGUCAGAGGGAAGAAACAAAGACAUUCGAACCAUUUGCACAACACAGAAGCUCUCCAGCAUGAGUCCUUAAAGGGCUGGAGGCUUGCUGGGGAAGCUUUGAGGAGGAGAGUCAUAAAGAACAGAAGGUUUUACGACGCAAGGUCAAAGCUGUUGAACACAAUGGCAAAGCAGCAUAGGAGAAACACCCUUUGUCCUCUGUCAUCGCUGUCAAAAACAGAGGAGGGGAAGAAGUCCCGCACACCACAUUUCAGCAAAGCCCUGAAGCUCCUUGCCUCGUGCCCGCUGACCAUGAGCCCUGCUCCCACAGGGAGCCAGCAGACCUUCACUUCAUUCGAGGCAACCUUCAUUUUGCUAGUGGCCCCGGAUGAAAGCCGGGAGCACCGCUUGCAUACAGCGGGUGAGAAGGCAGCAGGCUGGAGACCAUCACUCAUGGCUGAAAGGAUGAUCAUUGUUUGUUUAGCUCAUUCCAGAAUAAUGGCUCUGCUGGGAACACCAACCCAGUACGCAUCAGAUCUGUUAUAGUAUAUAUUAAUUUAGCGUAGACAUUAGCCCAUCGUUAUUCCCUCCUUUUAAUUCUCAUGUAUUAGCAUUCGGGAUCAGUUUUAACCCAGCACACGUCUUUGUUAUUUCACAGUGUAAAAUAAAUAAAGCUGGAGG
rnacentral:lncRNA from 7 species